rnacentral:rRNA from 1 species
AACGAACGCUGGCGGCAUGCCUAACACAUGCAAGUCGAACGAGAUCUUCGGGUCUAGUGGCGCACGGGUGCGUAACGCGUGGGAAUCUGCCCUUUGGUUCGGAAUAACAGUUGGAAACGACUGCUAAUACCGGAUGAUGACGAAAGUCCAAAGAUUUAUCGCCAGAGGAUGAGCCCGCGUAGGAUUAGCUAGUUGGUGUGGUAAAGGCGCACCAAGGCGACGAUCCUUAGCUGGUCUGAGAGGAUGAUCAGCCACACUGGGACUGAGACACGGCCCAGACUCCUACGGGAGGCAGCAGUGGGGAAUAUUGGACAAUGGGCGAAAGCCUGAUCCAGCAAUGCCGCGUGAGUGAUGAAGGCCUUAGGGUCGUAAAGCUCUUUUACCCGGGAUGAUGAUGACAGUACCGGGAGAAUAAGCUCCGGCUAACUCCGUGCCAGCCGCCGCGGUAA